GCCAUGGCGGCGGGAUUGGAUCCAGACUUUGAUUCUGGCUCAGGACGAGCGCUGGCGGCGUGCCUAACACAUGCAAGUCGAACGAAGAUGCAUCUCAGAUCCCUUCGGGGUGACGAGAUGCAGACUUAGUGGCGGACGGGUGAGUAAUGUAUGAGCAACCUGCCUUCAAGAGGGGAAUAACAGUCGGAAACGACUGCUAAUACCGCAUAAUAAAGCGUAGUCGCAUGACAAUGCUUUCAAAGGAGCAAUCCGCUUGAAGAUGGGCUCAUAUCUGAUUAGAUAGUUGGUGAGGUAACGGCUCACCAAGUCUGCGAUCAGUAGCCGGACUGAGAGGUUGAACGGCCACAUUGGAACUGAGAUACGGUCCAGACUCCUACGGGAGGCAGCAGUGGGGAAUAUUGGGCAAUGGGCGAAAGCCUGACCCAGCAACGCCGCGUGAAGGAAGAAGGUCUUCGGAUUGUAAACUUUUGUCUUAUGGGACGAUAAUGACGGUACCAUAGGAGGAAGCCACGACUAACUACGUGCCAGCAGUCGCGGUAAUACGUAGGUGGCGAGCGUUAUCCGGAUUUAUUGGGCGUAAAGGGAACGCAGGCGGUCUUUUAAGUCUGAUGUGAAAGCCUUCGGCUUAACCUGAGUAGUGCAUUGGAAACUGGGAGACUUGAGUGCAGAAGAGGAGAGUGGAACUCCAUGUGUAGCGGUGAAAUGCAUAGAUAUCGGGAGGAACACCAGUGGCGAAGGCGGCUUGCUGGGCUUUUACUGACGCUGAGGCACGAAAGUGUGGGGAGCAAACAGGAUUAGAUACCCUGGUAGUCCACACCGUAAACGAUGAUUACUAGGUGUAGGCCGGCUGAACCGGUCUGUGCCGCAGUUAACACAAUAAGUAAUCCACCUGGGGAGUACGGCCGCAAGGUUGCAACUCAAAGGAAUUGACGGA
rnacentral:rRNA from 1 species